GAUGAACGCUGGCGGCGUGCCUAAUACAUGCAAGUCGAGCGAACAGACGAGGAGCUUGCUCCUCUGACGUUAGCGGCGGACGGGUGAGUAACACGUGGAUAACCUACCUAUAAGACUGGGAUAAUUUCGGGAAACCGGAGCUAAUACUGGAUAAUAUAUUGAACCGCAUGGUUCAAUAGUGAAAGACGGUUUUGCUGUCACUUAUAGAUGGAUCCGCGCCGCAUUAGCUAGUUGGUAAGGUAACGGCUUACCAAGGCGACGAUGCGUAGCCGACCUGAGAGGGUGAUCGGCCACACUGGAACUGAGACACGGUCCAGACUCCUACGGGAGGCAGCAGUAGGGAAUCUUCCGCAAUGGGCGAAAGCCUGACGGAGCAACGCCGCGUGAGUGAUGAAGGUCUUCGGAUCGUAAAACUCUGUUAUUAGGGAAGAACAAAUGUGUAAGUAACUAUGCACGUCUUGACGGUACCUAAUCAGAAAGCCACGGCUAACUACGUG
rnacentral:rRNA from 1 species